rnacentral:lncRNA from 1 species
UUUGGUUUGAAAAGAAAGAGAACAAUACACAUACACUAUAUUAUGUAGGGAAAAUAUAGAGAUUGCUUGUUUCCAAACUUCUUAGUAUUUGCUAAAUUUAACUAAAUGCACAUCUUGCUGGCCCCAGUAGGGGUGUAAACGAGCCAAACACGAGCAAGCCGGGGCCGGCUCAUGUUCAGCUCGUUUAAUAAAUUAAUGAGCUGAACACGAGCUGCCUCGUUAAAGUAUCGAGUUGAAAAAUUCAGCUCGUGUUAACACGAGCUGGCUUACAGGCUGGCCAACGAACAAUAAGUUAAAAUGAUUAGAUUGAAUAUAUAUAAAAACUAAAUUUAUGAAAUUUUAUCCAUUAGACUUUGAUCUAAUAUAGUUGAAACUUUACAUAUAAAUGAGUUUUUUUUAUAAUUGAGCUCAUUUUUAUAUUUUUAUUUUGCUAAAAAUUAAAUAAUAAAAAUAUAUAUUUUAUAUAUAUAAUUAUUUAUUUAUAUAUAAAUAUAAAUUCAAUAAAUUAUAUGAAUAUAAAAUGUAUGUAUUCGAGCUGUUAUCGAGCUGAACAUGAGCGAGCUGACUCCAGCUCGUGUUCGGCUCGUUUAUUAAACGAGUCGAAAAAUUUAGCUCGUGUUCAACUCGUUUACGAUACGAGCGAUUCGAUCUCGAGCUCAUUUCGAACCGAACACGAGUUGGCUCGAAAACAGCGAGCUGGAUUGCCACCCCUAGGCCCCAGAAAGAAAAAGGCUACUUAGAAAUUCACACUUUUUUUUGGAGAACCCAUUUCAUUCAUUUUUUAUGAAAAUAAACUUAACUAAAAAUGUAAAACAGCUAAACUUUAAUUAAACUUAGGUAUUACUUAUCAAGUCUUUUACUACU